rnacentral:rRNA from 1 species
GGUAAUACGUAGGUGGCAAGCGUUGUCCGGAAUUAUUGGGCGUAAAGGGCUCGCAGGCGGUUUCUAAGUCUGAUGUGAAAGCCCCCGGCUCAACCGGGGAGGGUCAUUGGAAACUGGGAAACUUGAGUGCAGAAGAGGAGAGUGGAAUUCCACGUGUAGUGGUGAAAUGCUAGAGAUGUGGAGGAACACCAGUGGCGAAGGCGACUCUCUGGUCUGUAACUGACGCUGAGGAGCGAAAGCGUGGGGAGCGAACAGGAUUAGAUACCCUGGUAGUCCACGCCGUAAACGAUGAGUGUUAAGUGUUAGGGGGUUUCCGCCCCUUAGUGCUGCAGCUAACGCAUUAAGCACUCCGCCUGGGGAGUACGGUCGCAAGACUGAAACUCAAAGGAAUUGACGGGGGCCCGCACAAGCGGUGGAGCAUGUGGUUUAAUUCGAAGCAACGCGAAGAACCUUACCAGGUCUUGACAUCCUCUGACAACCCU